AUACGGAGGGUCCAAGCGUUAUCCGGAUUCAUUGGGUUUAAAGGGUCCGCAGGCGGGAAAAUAAGUCAGUGGUGAAAGCCUACAGCUCAACUGUAGAACUGCCAUUGAUACUGUUUUUCUUGAGUAUAGAUGAAGUGGGCGGAAUAUAUCAUGUAGCGGUGAAAUGCAUAGAUAUGAUAUAGAACACCGAUUGCGGAGGCAGCUCACUAAACUAUUACUGACGCUCAGGGACGAAAGCAUGGGGAGCGAACAGGAUUAGAUACCCUGUAGUCC
rnacentral:rRNA from 1 species